rnacentral:rRNA from 1 species
AGAGUUUGAUCAUGGCUCAGGAUGAACGCUAGCGGCAGGCCUAAUACAUGCAAGCCGAACGGCAAGCUUGAUAGCAAUAUUGAGCCUAGAGUGGCGUAAGGGUGCGUAACACGUAUGCAAUCUACCCUCAACAGGAGGAUAGCUCCCCGAAAGGGGAAUUAAGACUCCAUAAUAUAAUUUGAUGGCAUCAUUAGAUUAUUAAAGUACCAGCGGUUGAGGAUGAGCAUGCGUCUGAUUAGUUAGUUGGCGGGGUAACGGCCCACCAAGACGAUGAUCAGUAGGGGAACUGAGAGGUUGAUCCCCCACACUGGCACUGAGAUACGGGCCAGACUCCUACGGGAGGCAGCAGUAGGGAAUAUUGGACAAUGGGUGCAAGCCUGAUCCAGCCAUGCCGCGUGCAGGAAGAAGGCCUUCUGGGUUGUAAACUGCUUUUGCCGGGGGAUAAAAUAGUCUUGCGAGACGAAUUGAAGGUACCCGGUGAAUAAGCCACGGCUAACUACGUGCCAGCAGCCGCGGUAAUACGUAGGUGGCAAGCGUUGUCCGGAUUUAUUGGGUUUAAAGGGUGCGUAGGCGGUCUUAUAAGUCAGUUGUGAAAUACGGCAGCUUAACUGUCGAGGUGCAAUUGAUACUGUAAGACUUGAGUACUGUUGAGGUAGGCGGAAUGGACGGUGUAGCGGUGAAAUGCUUAGAGAUCGUCCAGAACACCGAUAGCGAAGGCAGCUUACUAAAGAGUAACUGACGCUGAGGCACGAAAGUGUGGGGAUCAAACAGGAUUAGAUACCCUAGUAGUCC